GAGGCUCCCAGUAGACGACUGGGUUGAUAGGCCGGAUGUGGAAGCAGGGACUAAAGACCUGUGCAGCUGACCGGUACUAAUAAGCCGAUAAAUUGACAACAC
rnacentral:rRNA from 1 species